rnacentral:tRNA from 1 species
GCAGGUGAUGGCGCAACCUCUUCCGAAUCAGUCAAUUAAAUAAGGCCCCGGCGGGACUCAAAAUCCCGUGCCUAGCGAUAGGCGUGUGGGUUCGAUCCCCUCCACCGGCA